AAACCAUGCAUCGGACAUUUUCACAGCAAAUCUUUAAAUCACUCCUAAGCUUCAUACAAAUUUUCAUCCUUUAAUUGCUUGAAAUAUGUGAUGUCAUUCCUCAUUCU